UCUUUUGUAUUUACGAUAUUUAGCAUGUGACGAAAUACAUAUGUUUUUUCAAUAUGCGAAUACUGACGCGUUCCAAGGUACAUCUCAAAAAUGUAUAAUUUUAUUUUAUUGUUUAAUUAUGUUACAAUGAUAUACGUGUGAAAUUGUGAGAAUCGUUUUAUUUAAUAAAAAAUGUUAUAUGAACCAGGAAUCGUAUAAUAUAAGUAAUCAACGACAGAUGGCGCAUCGGUAGAAGAAUUAGUUUCGAUCGUAAUAAGUCACGCUCGGUGGUCUUAUUCGUGGACUUGUUUCAUUUUAUAUUUCGUCGUUGAUCAUAAUUUCCUGAAGAUUUUCAACUAGCGUUGAUGAAAUAGACAAAUAGUGUAUACGUCUUGGUAUUACUAACUCCUUCGUGCAAUACGUGACGACGAAUACAGAAGAAUCAUCUGCAUGGCGAUCAAGAGCAACAUAUUUUCUCGAUUUAACGACGUUUGCAAGCAACGGCUCUCGUAGAUAUAGAACAAACCGACUGUUAGGCAAUACUCCAAGGAUUUGGAAAAGGGAUGGAAAAUGGUACGUCAGGCAGAAUUCCCAGUCGCGCGACCAAAAGUUUGAACGAUCGUGCAACAGUUGACGCACCCUCCUCGUCCAUUCUGGAAAUCCGCCCCUAUCGAUGUUGGAGGACGAGCUACGUUGGAGAACGCGCGUGCUAGAAAGAGAGGGAGAGGGAGAGAGAGAGGGAGAAACAGAUCGAUGGUUCGAUGAAUCUUCGAUGAUCACACGAGAGAGAUAGAGUUAGAUAUAGAGAUAGAGAUAAUCGAACGUGAACAAGGAACGAGAAUGAGAUAUAAAUAAAACAAAAGAAUUUCCAGACGGUGUGGUGCACGUUCAUCUGAAGGAUCUCAGAGACGAGUGGUUGAGAGGUGGGUGUUCGACGACGACUACGACUACGACGACGACGACGACGACGACGACGACGACGACGACGACUACGACGACGACGAGAGUCAGAGGAAUGGAAGCCCGUUCGAGCGAACGGUUGGAGAAACGAAGAAGGAGAAAGAAGAGGUUGGAGGUGAAACCGGAAAUAAUCGAAGCAUCGUCAAAAUGAUCCAAACGAUAAAACAGAACACUUUGCAAUGCGUCCAUUGCAACGACACGGCUUUCGAGCAAGUAAAAGUACGAGGGUGUCGUACGAAGAGGAAAACUUUGACAUAGGAGAUGAAGACGUAAUACUAUGUCGGAUGGAAGGUAUCGUCUCCUCGUUCCAGUUGCUCCAGCAGUGUGGUAGAAGAAGUCGAACGAAAGGCGGCCAGAUUUCAUCGACGUAAUCGUCGUCGCUCUUUCAAAGGCGAGCCGUGAUUAAAACUAACCCCUUUGCUAGAAAAGCUCCAACGAUCGAUGCGUCUUCCUAACACCAGGAAAAUAAUAACGUGGAAAAUAAAAGAUAGAAAAAAAAGAGAGAUAGAAAAUAUGAGUGAUUUAAAAGGUAUAGAGAGAGAAAGAGAAAGAGGCAAUGGGGUGAGGGUGCAACAAUCUACAGAUACCUCGACUCUACCUGAUUACGUCGCUAGUUCUCUAAUUACGGAGAAACCUACAACGAUACUCUACUCGACCUCGUUCGGCAACGUUCGUGCAACCUUCCGAACACGAGUCUUAUUCCGGAAGACGUACAGAAAACGGAAGAGUUUUAAAGGAUGAGAAGUAACAAAGUACGAGGAAUUUUUGGCUUCUCAAAUAUAUUCUACGACCUUCUUAGAAAACGAGUCCGUUAACGAACACCCGGUAUAGGAGAACGCGUAUCGCGCGGUACGCAUUAAAGAGGAACGUGUCUUAAAGAGGAUAAGACCGAACGAUUAUUUCAAGUAGCGAAGAAUAGCGUCUCGUAGAGAACACAAAGGGAAAAAGAUGAAAAGAAAGAAGAAGAAGAAAAAGGAAAAGAAGAAAAAUAAGAAGAAGAAGAAGAAGCGAGACUCGCCUUUGGAAUGGAUCAACCAAACGCAUUUCUAUUCCACCCACGCGACGCCAAGACGCGGACGUCUGUUUUCGCUCGGUGUGGCUUCCGGAGCUGAACGUCUUUCCGCCUGCGAACUGCCCAAUCAAGAGAAGCGGAACGUUCUCCCUUGAUACGACUGGAUAGCCCUGACCGUUUUCGUGUUUCUCGUUAAGGAAGAAGAUUUUUUUCAAGAUCGACAGGUAGUUAUAACGUGAAAAACGUACAGAAGCCCGCCGGGGUGUGUAUAUGCGCCGCCGGCAGUUAGCUAUCGUCACAUAAAUUUUCAGUUUUUCCUUUCGAGAGGAAAUAGGAACGAUCCGGUGGGUCCAUCGUUGUAAGUUCCUGUGGGACGUUCCAAGGGAUCGAACGAUUCCGAACGUUGGCGAUUCCGUAUUCCUCGAAGGUUCGGGUUUCGUUCGGUGAGAUAAGGGAUGGUAUGAGGAAUGGUAAGGGACGUGUGUAAUUCGAUCAGACCCUUCGCUUGAACGGCACUUUCCAUUGGUAAGGCGAGCAGCUCUUUGGUAUCUUCGUCCCUCCCUCUCUCUCCCUCUCUUUCUCUCUUUUUCUCUUAUAUUACUUUUCUCUUUUCUUUCUUCACUCUUCUUUUCUCAUCUUCUUCUUUCCUCUUCACAUCAAUUUUCCUUUUCUGAACGUUCGUCCUUUGCGUUAUCCGUUGCGAACGAUUCAAAGACAUCGUCGACACGCUUCGUCUCAUUGAAACAUUCAGAUAAAGAGAGAAGGGCGAUUCGUUAACGAGAGAUGAAUCAUAAGCCCGCAUUUUCGUCGCUAACGAAUAAUGUAAUUUCGAUUGUUCCUUGUCGGCGAUAGUAUUAUGAUCGUUCGAAAUUAAUCGUCGUUGUUAAUUACGUCGGAUUUGAUUUUGAACUCUUUCCUCGUGAAAAUUUUAACCAACAUAUUUCAAUCGUUCUUAUCUAUGGUAAAGAAAUCUCGAUGUCUAAGAAAAAUUAAACUAUACAAUUUUAUUUAUUGACGCGCAAAAGUAUUUAAAAGAAAAAAAAAACGAAAAGGAAUAAGUAAAAAAAAGAAAUAUUCGACUUUGCGAUAUGGAACAAUCGUCAUGUUUAAACACUCUUUAAGCGUUUCUCCGUUAAAAUCGUUGAUAAAAAUCUUAUUAUUGAUAUUAAUCUUGCUCUUCUCUUGCAUACGAUUCGAGCAACGCUUUUCGAGUAUUUCUGAGUGAUACGCCAUUUGUCGGACGGUCUCGAUCACAACACGAUUCUCGUUUUCAGUCGUUUGCGGGAUGAGGUGAAGAGGACGAGGACGAGCACGAGGAGAAGGUGGAGGAGGAGGAGGAGAAAUUGUGGGAGGUUGGAACAAAAUAAAGUGCGCUCGGGCUUUUUCAUGUUGUCCUCUUUCUGGUUGUCCAGAGUACGUGUCCAUGUAGAAGAACGAGCACACGUACAUCGUUCAUUUUCAGGCACGGAAAAGCGGUAGCUCGUGCGUUCCCGUUGGCUACCAGGGACGGAAGGGGAAAAAUAGGAAAAAAGUGUCGACGAACGAGGGGCCACCGAAUUACGAAUGCAUAGAUCGUUGAAUAAAUAAUGAAAGGACAACGGAUACGUGAGUGUAUGCAUAGAUAUACGAGUACGCGCGCGUGAGUAGUUAACGUGUGCGUGGGUGCGUGCAUGCAUCUAUGCAUCUAUACGUCUAUAUGUGCGUGUGCGCGAGUUUCGAUAGAUACGUUCGAACCAAUUGCUCCAACGAUCUCCGACAUUUUUCUCAUUUUCUAUUUUGGAAUAUACUUUAGAAUGAUCGUAAAUUUUUAAUACACAAUGAUCGCUACGUAUUAAUCGCUUCUAAUUAGAUAGAAAUUAUUACAGACGUUAAUACAGAUCUAUAACGUCUAUAAUCUGCAACAAUAUAAAAUAUUAUAAAUCUAUCUACCUAAGUUCGCGAUAAUUAAAGAAUAGAAAUAUAAUGAAUGAAUCGAUGAAAAUGAAUAAAGAUGGACGCCGAAUGAAGGAUCUAGCACCGAUGUCACGAGUUUCGCAUGCUAUUAUCGCGUGGCACGUCAAUAGCGAGUUCCCGACAAAGAGGAUGACGUUCGGGGUGGAAAAGGGAGGAAGAGGAGGAGAAGGAGAAGGAGGUGGAGGAAGAUAGGAUGGAAGAGCAGGGGAGAAGGAGAGGAAAGAAGGAGAAGAGAAAGACGGACGACGUAAACCGAAUGACGAGAAGAUAGUCGCAGCGGGUGGUAGUUAUGUCGUCGCUGGCUGCGUAUGACAGCGACAGAACCGAAGGCCAACCUCCUCCAUCUCCACAACCUUUUCCUCUUUCUCCACCUCCACCUCCUCCUCCUCCUCCACCACCACCUCCACCACCUCCUCCAUCACCACCUCCUCUUUUGCCCGGACUCAACUCGACUCGACUCGACUCGACUCGACUCGAGUCGACUCGAUUCUCCUCCCUCGAACGUCCGCUUCUAGCGACGCUUCGAAUCCCUUCCAACCCCUGCGUUCGGUCAAACUUCCCAGACUACCGAGGCGCACUCGACAAUUACGAUCAAUUUCCUGGUCGUCGCCCCCUCUCUUUCUCUCUCUCUCUCUCUCUCUCUUUCGCUCUCUCUCUCUCUCUUUCGCUCUUCUCUUUCGACGGAGCAAUUAAAAAAAAAAAAAAAAAAAAAAAGAAAAGAAGACAAUUUUAUUUUCUACGACAUUCACGAGACGUCUUAUCGGAUGAAACGAAGGGAAACAGAAAAAUAAGAAAAAAGAAAGGAAAUAGAUAGAGAAAGGAAGAAGGCAGUGAGGGUGACAGCGAGACGACGCGAACGAAAAUUACAAGUCGGUCCGGAAAUGACGAGGCACCGGAAGUGCUCGUGGCGCUUCGCUUCCGUCGCUCUGCCGAUCGAAUGCUUGCCUCUAGCGAAAAUCUACGGGUCUAUCGAGCCAGCUCGUUCGACAAGAUAAAAUCGAGAUGGAUAAAGGGUUAACGCGUUGAGUGUUACGCGUGGG